rnacentral:rRNA from 1 species
AUACGUAGGGGGCGAGCGUUGUCCGGAAUGAUUGGGCGUAAAGGGCGCGUAGGCGGCCCGGUAAGUCUGGAGUGAAAGUCCUGUUUUUAAGAUGGGAAUUGCUUUGGAUACUGUCGGGCCUGAGUGCAGGAGAGGUAAGUGGAAUUCCCAGUGUAGCGGUGAAAUGCGUAGAGAUUGGGAGGAACACCAGUGGCGAAGGCGACUUACUGGACUGUAACUGACGUUGAGGCUCGAAAGCGUGGGGAGCAAACAGGAUUAGAUACCCUGGUAGUCCACGCCGUGAACGAUGAAUACUAGGUGUCGGGUUUCUAUAGAGAUUCGGUGCCGCAGCAAACGCAAUAAGUAUUCCACCUGGGGAGUACGUUCGCAAGAAUGAAACUCAAAGGAAUUGACGGGG